UUCUCCGUCGAAGUUUGUGUCUGAGACCGUCUGCUUCGACUUCAUGAUAUACGUCCAUAUUUCACGUGUUUCCCUGUGAUAUUUUCUCCCAAAGGAGAUUGUAUCAUGUCUACGAGUACAGGAACGAGAUGUUAUGUUCCUGGCUGCAUGAAUUCGUCGGCGGCCAACCCGGAACUAACGUUUCACCGACCGAGGGACAAUGACACAAAACGAAAAUGGGAGGCGGCCAUCGCCAGCAGAUAUCCUGCUAUGGAGAAAGAACGUCGUGUUCCGCACCAUAUGUUCUUCGCACUCCUCUGACGAAGCUUAUCUGGAGACAGACAUCAUGCAGGUUCGCCUCGGGUUUGCUCCAAAACGAAGGCGGCUAAAACCUGACGCUAUGCCCACGUUGUUCCCGGAACAAGUGGAAAGCCUUGACAUGCCCAGUGACGAGACUAUACGUCAAUCCUCAUUGGCGAGGUGUCGUCUCGCAUAGAAAAACACCUAAAGGAGCCUGUUUUUGUGGAAAUUGGACCACCACGUGCAUCAACAUAUGGUGAAAGACCAGCUUUGGCACAAGCUGUGGAAAAGCACCAGGCCAGGUUCCGGAAGUGAGGACUGUGACCACCUCACACGCUGACACUUCAGACCUUUCAGAAACCAUGACAAAGAAGAAAAAGAACAAAAAAAAGGCCCUUUUCAGGGCCACCCAAUGCUUUACACAGAGACAAGUGUUGCUUUAUGAAGAAGUCUUGAAGGACCUGCAACAAUGCUGAGGUCAUGAGAGCUCUGGAAUAUUCACCAACAGUGGUGGCACCCAACAGGAGGUCUCAGCUACGCCGCUUUCCUGGCUUGUAUUUUAUGUACGGAGUACAUUCCCUAACCUAGAGAGUGAGAUUCGUUCAUUUCACUCUACAUGCCAAAAUAAGUGUUUUUCAACAGCUUUGCGUGGUAUAGGGGAAGGAUUGCUAGCGGGGAUGUAGUAAGAUGUGGUUGUAUCCCGUGGGUCCUUCCUUGAUCUUUUACACCCGGUGAUAACACAAUAGCCAACAGAAUUGAGCAUAAAAUAUUGCUACAGUGUUCUAUCUUUGCCACCAAAUAAGCCCAACAUGUAUCUACAGAUUCCGACAAAAGUUCCAACAGAACACAGGGUUGGCAUGUAUUUCUUCUUAGAACUGCCACCUAAGCCGCAAAAUUCGUCCGUAGCUGACACACUGACAGGUGGGCACCUUGGUAGCCUAGCCACAUAUUUGUAAUUGCAUCCACACCAGUUCGCUGAUACGGCGUCAGUCCUGUGAGGAAGUAUGUCAACCCUCUGUUCUGUAAGCUUUUGAAGGAAUAUGUAGAUACUUAUGAGGUGGCAUAACUGUGCCAGAUAUUUUGUCUUCCUACUGCGCACACUGACAUGUGGGAAGCAUCGCGGUGGUCUUGAAUGAAGUUCUGUUCACAGCUGUCGAAGAAGGGUCAUAUGCCUGAAAGAGGUAAGGUAAUGAUAGGAACAAGACUCAUAAUGUACCAUGUUCACUUUUUUUUUCAAGUUUUAUCCGGGGCACAUCAGCACUGUAUUACGUCAAAGCUAUAAUGUCAUAAAAAGCUUUUAGGUACACAGGCAUAACAUGUUGUGUAAUAUGA